rnacentral:rRNA from 1 species
UAACUGAUGAAUAAGCCCCGGCUAACUUCGUGCCAGCAGCCGCGGUAAUACGAAGGGGGCUAGCGUUGUUCGGAAUUACUGGGCGUAAAGGGCGCGUAGGCGGUUAUAUUAGUCAGAUGUGAAAGCCCUGGGCUUAACCUAGGAAUAGCAUUUGAUACUGUAUGUCUAGAGUGCGAGAGGGGAAAGUGGAAUUGCGAGUGUAGAGGUGAAAUUCGUAGAUAUUCGCAAGAACACCGGCGGCGAAGGCAGCUUUCUGGCUCGUAACUGACGCUGAGGCGCGAAAGCGUGGGGAGCAAACAGGAUUAGAUACCCUGGUAGUCCACGCUGUAAACGAUGAAUGCUAGAUGUUGGAUUGUAUAAACGAUUCAGUGUUGUCGCUAACGCAAUAAGCAUUCCGCCUGGGGAGUACGGUCGCAAGAUUAAAACU